GAUGGAUUAAUGCCAUUUGCAAUAACAUGGAUGCAACUAGAGAUUCUCAUACUAAGUGAAAUGAAUGCUGCAUGCCAGGACCACAGCAGAGCAUAAGGAGAGGGCAAGGAAAAGACAAGACUUUGGAGACCUCAGAGAAUUCUUGCAGAUAAUCUAGAGGCUUAAAGCUACUGUUUUCCCUCAGAGACUGGCAACGGAGGCAGACAACAGAGCCAACAAAUCAGGGGACACCUGAAAUCAGAGGGGCAGCAGGUGGAUUCUGGCUCUGACACAGGCCUUCAUCAUCGCAGCACUUUGACAAGCUAGCUCCUCCAUCUUAACUUCAAGUUUUCAUUUCUACACACAGCUUCAUCAAAUAACAAUUUCUGCUUUCCCCAUGGUAGGACGAAAGAAGCCUGAAUCACUUCUGAAAAUGUUUGAAUUCUCUUUAAGAUAGAAGAGCAAGACCAUCUGAAUAAGGAAUAGAGAAAGAAGCAUAGAGGAGUUCCCGUCGUGGCUCAGCAAUAACCCGACUAGUAUCUAUGAGGAUGUGGGUUCGAUCCCUAA